rnacentral:rRNA from 1 species
CGGAGAAGGAGCAUGAUAUCCUUCUACCACAUCCAAGGAAGGCAGCAUGCGCGCAAAUUACCCAAUCCCGACACGGGGAGGUAGUGACAAUAUGUAACAAUAUACGGCUUUAUUGUCGAAUAAUUGGAAUGAGUACAAUUUAAAUCCCUUAACGAGGAACAAUUGGAGGACAAGUCUGGUGCCAGCAGCCGCGGUAAUUCCAGCUCCUAUAGCGUAUAUUAAAGUUGUUGCAGUAAAAAAGCUCGUAGAUGGACCUUGUGCCUGGACAGGCGGACCGCCUCACGGCGUGUACUGUCUUGCUGGGCCUUUCCUCUUGCUGAUCUGUGGUUUCAGCCGCAGGUAACCACGACCUUUACUUUGAAAAAAUUAUAGUGUUCAAAGCAGGCUUUACGCCAAAAUAUAUUAGCAUGGAAUAAAAAAAUAGGACGUGCGGUUCUAUUUUGUUGGUAUUUGACAUCGCCGUAAUGAUUAAAAGGGACAGUCGGCAGGCAUUAGCACUCACAUGCU